AAAUUGAAGAGUUUGAUCAUGGCUCAGAUUGAACGCUGGCGGCAGGCCUAACACAUGCAAGUCGAACGGUAACAGGAAGCAGCUUGCUGCUUUGCUGACGAGUGGCGGACGGGUGAGUAAUGUCUGGGAAACUGCCUGAUGGAGGGGGAUAACUACUGGAAACGGUGGCUAAUACCGCAUAACGUCGCAAGACCAAAGAGGGGGACCUUCGGGCCUCUUGCCAUCAGAUGUGCCCAGAUGGGAUUAGCUUGUUGGUGAGGUAACGGCUCACCAAGGCGACGAUCCCUAGCUGGUCUGAGAGGAUGACCAGCCACACUGGAACUGAGACACGGUCCAGACUCCUACGGGAGGCAGCAGUGGGGAAUAUUGCACAAUGGGCGCAAGCCUGAUGCAGCCAUGCCGCGUGUAUGAAGAAGGCCUUCGGGUUGUAAAGUACUUUCAGCGGGGAGGAAGGUGUUGUGGUUAAUAACCACAGCAAUUGACGUUACCCGCAGAAGAAGCACCGGCUAACUCCGUGCCAGCAGCCGCGGUAAUACGGAGGGUGCAAGCGUUAAUCGGAAUUACUGGGCGUAAAGCGCACGCAGGCGGUCUGUCAAGUCGGAUGUGAAAUCCCCGGGCUCAACCUGGGAACUGCAUUCGAAACUGGCAGGCUUGAGUCUUGUAGAGGGGGGUAGAAUUCCAGGUGUAGCGGUGAAAUGCGUAGAGAUCUGGAGGAAUACCGGUGGCGAAGGCGGCCCCCUGGACAAAGACUGACGCUCAGGUGCGAAAGCGUGGGGAGCAAACAGGAUUAGAUACCCUGGUAGUCCACGCCGUAAACGAUGUCUACUUGGAGGUUGUGCCCUUGAGGCGUGGCUUCCGGAGCUAACGCGUUAAGUAGACCGCCUGGGGAGUACGGCCGCAAGGUUAAAACUCAAAUGAAUUGACGGGGGCCCGCACAAGCGGUGGAGCAUGUGGUUUAAUUCGAUGCAACGCGAAGAACCUUACCUGGUCUUGACAUCCACAGAAGAAUCCAGAGAUGGAUUUGUGCCUUCGGGAACUGUGAGACAGGUGCUGCAUGGCUGUCGUCAGCUCGUGUUGUGAAAUGUUGGGUUAAGUCCCGCAACGAGCGCAACCCUUAUCCUUUGUUGCCAGCGAUUAGGUCGGGAACUCAAAGGAGACUGCCAGUGAUAAACUGGAGGAAGGUGGGGAUGACGUCAAGUCAUCAUGGCCCUUACGACCAGGGCUACACACGUGCUACAAUGGCGUAUACAAAGAGAAGCGACCUCGCGAGAGCAAGCGGACCUCAUAAAGUGCGUCGUAGUCCGGAUUGGAGUCUGCAACUCGACUCCAUGAAGUCGGAAUCGCUAGUAAUCGUGGAUCAGAAUGCCACGGUGAAUACGUUCCCGGGCCUUGUACACACCGCCCGUCACACCAUGGGAGUGGGUUGCAAAAGAAGUAGGUAGCUUAACCUUCGGGAGGGCGCUUACCACUUUGUGAUUCAUGACUGGGGUGAAGUCGUAACAAGGUAACCGUAGGGGAACCUGCGGUUGGAUCACCUCCUUACCUUAAAGAAGC
rnacentral:rRNA from 1 species